rnacentral:lncRNA from 1 species
GGCAAAGUACUGGAUGACCCUUUUUGUGUUGACAGUCUUGCCAGCACCGGAUUCUCCAGUGAUCAGCAUUGACUGAUUUUCCCGAUUACGCAGCAUGUCGUGGUAUGCGUUAUCAGCAAUGGAGAAGAUGUGAGGAGGGGCUUCUGAGCGCCUCUUGCCUUUGUAGGCAGCAACAACCUCCGACUUGUAGACAGGCAGCCACUUGUAGGGGUUUAUAGUCACGCAGAACAAGCCCGAGUAGGUAUAAAUCAUCCAGUUGCUGUAGCGCUUCCUCAGGUUGUACAACACAGAUGCCUCAUUCAGAUGGGUCAGCAUAGCCAUGUCCUCAAUCAUGUCGAAUUUGGGAGGGUUCAUUGACUGCACGUCAUCUUCUUUUAUAGUCAUGGUCCGUCCAUCUGUUGUCUCAACAGUCACUUUGCCACCACUGCUUUCUGUAAUUUCAGCUUCAACGUAAGCUUUCUUGUCAUCAGGAACCCAACAUUUCUUUUUCCCAUCGAAGGCGACAGUUUGUAACAUCAUCAGCUCC